GUUGCUGCUAUAUCUCGCUCCUCGCUAAUUACGUACUUGUAUCGAUCCACUGAUAUGGAACGUGCUGGGGAUAAUAUGUUGUGUCUGCGUCGCAAUGGAGAAUCUUCGAGUUUGAUGCAUACGAACAUGUUGCAGAUAGAAAGACGUAGAGAAUAAACGAAAGAAAGAAAACACAGAUGCAUAAACAUAUAUAGUAUGUAUGUAUGUAUUUAGUUAAAUCAUCACAGGA